GUGGGGAAUAUUGGACAAUGGGCGAAAGCCUGAUCCAGCCAUGCCGCGUGUGUGAAGAAGGUCUUCGGAUUGUAAAGCACUUUAAGUUGGGAGGAAGGGCAGUAAGUUAAUACCUUGCUGUUUUGACGUUACCGACAGAAUAAGCACCGGCUAACUUCGUGCCAGCAGCCGCGGUAAUACGAAGGGUGCAAGCGUUAAUCGGAAUUACUGGGCGUAAAGCGCGCGUAGGUGGUUUUGUAAGGUGGAGGUGAAAUCCCCGGGCUCAACCUGGGAACUGCCACCAAAACUGCAUGACUAGAGUACGGUAGAGUGUAGUGGAAUUUCCUGUGUAGCGGUGAAAUGCGUAGAUAUAGGAAGGAACACCAGUGGCGAAGGCUACUACCUGGACUGAUACUGACACUGAGGUGCGAAAGCGUGGGGAGCAAACAGGAUUAGAAACCCCUGUAGUCC
rnacentral:rRNA from 1 species